GUGCCGGUAGUGUAGCGGACUCUGCACACCUGGCUGUGACCCAGGAAGUAAGGGUUCGACUCCCUUCCAGCACCC
rnacentral:tRNA from 1 species